GGAUGUGGGAGUGAUCUGGCCGAGACCUCUGUCACCCCAUUGUUUGCCAGGGUUGAUUCGGCUGAUCUGGAUGGAUGGAUGGAUGGAUGGAUGGAUGGAUGGAUGGAUGGAUAGGUGUCCCCUCCCUGCCUCAUGGAUCCAUGUGUGUCCAGGGUCGAACAGGAUGACCUGCCUUCAGACAAGGGUAUAUGAGUAGCUGUGCUUCCUUGCUAGAUCCUCCAAGCAAGCUCGCAGGUCCAUUUUUAAAGGAACAAAAAGUAAAGACAAAAAGUAUGUGACAUGAUGAGGUCAGCAGUUUCCAGAUGUUCUUU
rnacentral:snRNA from 1 species